UACGUAGGGGGCUAGCGUUGUCCGGAAUCAUUGGGCGUAAAGAGCGUGUAGGCGGUCCGGUAAGUCCGUUGUGAAAGUCAGGGGCUCAACCCUUGAAUGCCGGCGGAUACUGUCGGGCUAGAGUCCGGAAGAGGCAAGUGGAAUUCCCGGUGUAGCGGUGAAAUGCGCAGAUAUCGGGAGGAACACCGGUGGCGAAGGCGGGUCUCUGGGCCGAUACUGACGCUGAGGAGCGAAAGCGUGGGGAGCGAACAGG
rnacentral:rRNA from 1 species